GAUGAACGCUGGCGGCAUGCCUAAGACAUGCAAGUCGAUCGAGAUGGUCCAUAGAAGACGGAGUGCUUGCACAAAGUUGGAAAUGGAUUACCAUCUAGUGGCAGACGGGUGAGUAACACGUGGGUGACCUACCUUUAAGUUGGGGAUAACAUUUGGAAACGGAUGCUAAUACCGAAUAAGAUGUAGUUGUCAAGAUUAUAUAGAAAGGAGCCUUUAAAGCUUCGCUUAAAGAUGGGCCUGCGGCGUAUUAACUAGUUGGUGAGGUAAUGGCUCACCAAGGUGACGAUGCGUAGCCGAACUGAGAGGUUGGACGGCCACAUUGGGACUGAGACACGGCCCAA
rnacentral:rRNA from 1 species